rnacentral:lncRNA from 1 species
AUGGUGAUUAUUAGCAGAUGUGGCUGCUGUUUAUUGCAAGUGCUGGAGGCUGCUUCUUGGCCUCAUUGGCUGUCCAUACUCAUGACAACUCCAGCCCCAGUAUUUCUUGAGAGGGCAGUUCUUGCUGUACCCGUGAACUGUGGGGGCCACCUGAAUAUACUUCACGGACCCCAUGAAAAUGCCUUUGGAUUUGCCAAGAUGACCUCCUCCACCUGGAGCAUUGUGAUCAUUCACACCAUCAGCUCUAUUGCCCGAGAGCGUGGCAGACCUGGGGGCAGUCACCUCCGCGGUCGGGGGGCCGCGGCUCUCCCCAGAUGA